rnacentral:other from 1 species
ACCUGUAUUAUGUACAGGGUGGCAGAUGGCGUGCCAUAAAUCUAUUAGUGGGAUACCACGCUUGUGGACCUUAUGCCCACACAGCCAUCCUCUAGUAAGUUUGUAAAAUGUCUGGUGAGAUGUGGGAACUUAUUGGAAACAACAAUUUGCUUAAUAGCAUCCUAGUGCCAGCGGAACAACAUCUGGUAACAGAUGCCUCUGGGGCCAAAAGCCAAGGUUUGACAGACCCAUUAGGAUUGGUUUCAAAACCUGAAUUGUUGUGGAAGAUAUUCAGUACCUAUCAAUCUGGUAGUGGUGCAAACACUAGUUGUAAGGCCCACGAAGGAUGCCCAGAAGGUACCCGCAGGUAACAAGAGACACUGUGGAUCUGAUCUGGGGCCAACUACCUCUAUCAGGUGAGUUAGUUAAAAAACGUCUAGUGGGCCAAACCCAGGGGGGAUCCCUGGUUUCCUUUUAUUGUUAAUAUUGA